CCUUGACAGCGCCGCACCUCCUCCCUCCCUCCCUCCCUCCCCCGAUAGCGCCGCACCUCCUCCCUCGUUCCUGCUCGUCCGGAUAGCCACCGGCCGCUGCAUCCAUUCUCCCCCUUCCUCCUCCUUCCUCCUUCCCACUGGCGCCGACGAGGGGGCCUCUCGCAUGGAUGGCCGGGGCUUCAAACCGGGGGUAGAGAAGCAGGGGAGGUCCAAGAAGCCCGCGGUGGGGGUCGAGCAGCCAGGGGGGCCAAGAAAGCCGGCCGGGGCAGGCGCGGAGAGUGCCGAUGUGGCGGCCGUGGGCGGGGCGGCGGCGGCCAAGGCUAGGGAGGACGAGCAGCAGCAGCAGCAGCGUCUCCAUGGAUGCGGCGGCGUGACGGCUUCCAGGCACGGAUCCCCUCCUCCGCCUCCAUCCUCCACCUCUCCGGUCGCCCGGUUGCAACGCUGCAGCUCCUUCCUACCUUCCAUGGACGAGCUCGACGGAGACGCCGUCCAGCCCGACCAUGGCCACGACUACGCCACGCACAAGGUCCCUUCCUGCUCCCCCACCUUCUUCCAUGGUUCAAGACGCUACAUAGAUUGCUGCUGCUGUUUGUCAAAUUCAUUCCAAUGAAGCCAUCUACUUCGUCCACCAACCCGCCCCGAAAGGUAGUUAUUGUGAAUUGAUGUUCGCACUGAGGCCAGAGGCGAGAGGCGAGGGCACGAAGGUCGGCGGCAAGUGCUCGGGAGAGAAGAGGAAGGCGGUGGUGGCUGCGGUUUACACGAGAGCGAGGUGACCUGCCCAGAAAGGUAGUUACAGUGAAUUGAUGUUCAUAUGAACUUCAAUGCUGUGACGUUUUUAUUAGAUCUGAGUUGCAAUCCUCAAUUUUUUUAGGUUUGAGUAGCAAUGCUCCUGCUCUACUAGCUAUGCCAUUUUCCAUGUUUUUUCUUCUAAUAUCGUAUAGCCUCCAUGCUUAUGGGUUCAACUUGACAAGCUUUUUUCAUCUUACAUCCUGUUUUAAGCUCUGUUUAUGGUUGAUUUCUGCCAUGUUUAUGGAGGGAGAGGACGCCAAGUACUAGGAGAAGGAUCAGUUUAGCAAGUACAGGCUGUAAUUAUCUCGUGAUUAUGGAUUGCUGAGAAGCGCAACCUUUUGAUCUUCGAGAACCGCAAGUUUGCUGACAUUGAAAACACAUUCAUUAUGCAAGACGAAUGGCUCUAGAAUCACUAAGGUUGCUCCUUCUCUGUUCCUUUGCUCCUUCCGCCGUGAGGUGCAGGUGCCGCUCCGCAAGGUGCUCGAGCUCCCGAGGUCUACAUGAGCGCCUGCAAGUGGGACGAGCUGCCCUACGCGCGCGUGGCGUCCACGGCCAUGCGCCAGUACAAGGAGGCGUCCUGGAUGCAAGAUUUUAAAUAGCGUCCGCUACCUCCGCUAUUGCGGCUGCAAUAGCGGUAGCGUCACCCUGCCGCUAUUAGUUUAAGGUUGCGUUAGAAAAUAGCGUGUUGUCAUGAUGCGGGCGCAAUAUCACUUGUUAGACCGCUAUAUCAUCCGCUAUCCGCAAUAUCACCCGCUAUAUACGUCCUUAUUGUUCUAUUGUGUAAUCUAUUUUAGUAAAUGUGUCUUGCUUGCAUGGUUGCACGACCAAAUAUUGUUCAAUUAUAGUUUAUAUUCCUAUAUAAAUGAUGAUUUCUCAAAUUAAGUGUCAUAUUUUUGUCAAUGGCCUAGAAAUAUACACAACAAUCUCAAAUUUAUGAGUGUUUUUUAAAAAUUGGCUAUGUGGACAUAUCGCCCGCAAUAUCGCCUGCUAUCCGUAUUUUGCUAUGUGGGCCCUAAUCCGCAACCAGUCCGCUAUCCGCUAUUUAUAAGCUUGCCUGGAUGUGCUUCUUUCUUCUGGUAAUGCACUGCUCCUUAGCUUCUUUCUUUGCAUUUCUUAUGCGUCCUGGAUGUGCUUCUUUCUUCUGGUAAUGCACUGCUCCUUAGCUUCUUUCUUUGCAUUUCUUAUGAGUUUUGCGUAUGCUGCUGCCUCUGCAAUUGAUGGUAUGUGCUUUCUUUUGCUUGGUUAAUUCUGGUGUGUGUGUUUUCUGGCGCUAGAUCAUGGGGUCGGCGACGGCGGCCGGAAGCCAGGAGGGCUGGCCGAGGAAGAGGGUGAGGACGUGGGGAUUGAAGAGGGUUCCUAUGCAUAUUGUUCAGUGCAAGGGUAAAGCAUCGUCAGCAUUGUAUUGAUGUCGUCAAGUCAUGUAGACUAAUUGCAGAACAAAUCUAUACUUUCGUUGGGACUAAAAGUGAAAACGAUAAUUGGGACUAAAACUAUGCAUUUCUAGGAAGUAAUAAAUAUGCAAAAGGAUUAUCCAUGGGAUGGAGCAGAGGCCGGCGUGGGCCGCAAGGAGCAGCAGUGGCAGAAUGGUGCUCGCUUGCCGGGCGUUGGCCCUUGGAUGAAUUCGACGCCUGAGUUGAGCUAACGAGUCCCAUGGUUUGCUAUCAAUCUCUCAAAAAGGAAAAACAACAUUACUUUGUUCUUGGGAGAAACUUCCUGUAGCGUUGCUACCUUGACAGAGAUAAAUAUGCGAUCAAGGAUAUAUUCAGUGGUUUUUCAGGAAAAAACUUGGAGGAUAUUUUUGCAGGUUCAUCGCUUGCAUUAUUGCUUUAUCAUGGUGUAUUCGUCCCUUAUCCAAGAAAGGGCCUUCUUCAUGUUUGCAGAUAGUUUGGUGCUCUCAUGGUUAUUUUGUUGAGAUUGUCCUUCUGUUCAUUAUUUGGGAACCAUCUCCUGUAGCUCAGCUACUGUCUAGCUGCUGCCCUUAUGGUGAUUGAUUAAUGGUGUAUGUUUUUCUAUUAGUUUCUCUGUAUGCCAAUGUCUGAAUUAUAUCUUGACGUUGUACA